GACAGAGGGUGCAAACGUUGUUCGGAAUUACUGGGCGUAAAGCGCGCGUAGGCGGACCUGCAAGUCGAGGGUGAAAGCCCGAGGCUCAACCUCGGAACUGCCUUCGAUACUGCGGGUCUCGAGUCCGGGAGAGGUGAGUGGAAUUCCUAGUGUAGAGGUGAAAUUCGUAGAUAUUAGGAAGAACACCAGUGGCGAAGGCGGCUCACUGGCCCGGUACUGACGCUGAGGCGCGAAAGCGUGGGGAGCAAACAGG
rnacentral:rRNA from 1 species